rnacentral:lncRNA from 1 species
CUUCCUCCGCGAGAAAUCCACCACGGCUUCCCGGAAGGGUGCAAGGGCGAGGGCGCGGGGACAGCCGCCGAGAACUAGGCCCGGGCCCCGCCGAGCCCCUUGGCCCCGCGUCCCCACGCGCCCGGCCCGCCCAGCCUCGCGCGCCCCGGACGGCGGGCCCCGGAGCGCGUGCGCGCACGUAGGCACGCACACGCACACGCAUGCGCACUCCACACGCACACCGACGCACGCCGCCUUCCGCCCGGAACUCACGCCGGCGUUGCUGUGACGGCGAAGCCGCGUGGAAGUUCCCGCGUGUGGAUCGCCGGGGAAGUUUUAUCUGUCUCUCUCUCUCUCCCCUUCACCUCCUCUCUCUGUGUCUGCCAGUUUCAGUAGCAAUCAUCUUCCGACGGAAAGCCCUUGCCCUCGAGGCUGUGUUCAGGGUCCCUUGCGGUGGGGACUUCCGGGGUGGCGGGCAGAGACCCCCUUCCCCGCCCCAGGGGGGUCGUCUCUCCCCUCCGAGCCGGGAAGGGCCGGGAUCGCACCAGCAUGCCCGCCAGGGAAGAGGCGAUUCUGCAUCUCGCAGCGCUGAUGGCGUCGCCCGCGUCCCGGGCGUGACGGGACACAGCCCUCAGCCGUGCGCGCACGGAAAUCAAUCAAUACUAUGCAAAGCGGGCAGCCGCGCUCCUCCGGCGAGAGGGAGGCCCCAAUCAGCAGCACAAAGCCGGCCCCCGCCGGGCUCCCGCCCUCCGCAGAGGCGCGGCUGCGGGCCGCUGCGGGACACUCUUCACCUUCCAAGUAGCACACACGCGCGCCGCGCGCGGGCCCGGCUCCAGCUCCGCUUUGGCACGUUGCGCUCCGCUGGCAUGGCUGCUUGGUCUCCACACGAUGCCUAG